rnacentral:rRNA from 1 species
CCUACGGGCGACUGCAGUGGGGAAUAUUGGACAAUGGGGGGAACCCUGAUCCAGCCAUGCCGCGUGUGUGAAGAAGGCCCUCGGGUUGUAAAGCACUUUCAGUGAGGAAGAACGCCUGGUGGUUAAUACCCAUCAGGAAAGACAUCACUCACAGAAGAAGCACCGGCUAACUCCGUGCCAGCAGCCGCGGUAAUACGGAGGGUGCGAGCGUUAAUCGGAAUUACUGGGCGUAAAGCGCGCGUAGGUGGCUUGAUAAGCCGGUUGUGAAAGCCCCGGGCUCAACCUGGGAACGGCAUCCGGAACUGUCAAGCUAGAGUGCAGGAGAGGAAGGUAGAAUUCCCGGUGUAGCGGUGAAAUGCGUAGAGAUCGGGAGGAAUACCAGUGGCGAAGGCGGCCUUCUGGACUGACACUGACACUGAGGUGCGAAAGCGUGGGUAGCAAACAGGAUUAGAUACCCGUGUAGUC